rnacentral:rRNA from 1 species
UACGAAGGGGGCUAGCGUUGCUCGGAAUCACUUGGCGUAAAGCGCGCGCAGGCGGUCUUCCAAGUCAGUGGUGAAAGCCCGGAGCUCAACUCCGGAACUGCCAUUGAAACUGUAAGACUUGAGGAUGAGAGAGGUGAGUGGAAUUCCCAGUGUAGAGGUGAAAUUCGUAGAUAUUGGGAAGAACACCGGUGGCGAAGGCGGCUCACUGGCUCAUAUCUGACGCUCAGGCGCGACAGCGUGGGGAUCAAACAGG